AUGAGGGAGAUCCUGCACAUCCAGGGCGGGCAGUGCGGGAACCAGAUCGGGGCCAAGUUCUGGGAGGUGGUGUGCGCGGAGCACGGGAUCGACCCCACCGGCCGCUACGCCGGCGACACCGACCUGCAGCUCGAGCGCGUCAACGUCUACUACAACGAGGCCUCCUGCGGCCGCUUCGUGCCGCGCGCCGUGCUCAUGGACCUCGAGCCGGGGACCAUGGACUCCGUCCGCUCCGGCCCCUACGGCGGCAUCUUCCGCCCCGACAACUUCGUCUUCGGCCAGUCCGGCGCCGGCAACAACUGGGCCAAGGGCCACUACACCGAGGGCGCCGAGCUCAUCGACUCCGUCCUCGACGUCGUCCGCAAGGAGGCCGAGAACUGCGACUGCCUCCAAGGUUUCCAGGUGUGCCACUCGCUGGGCGGCGGCACCGGGUCCGGCAUGGGCACGCUGCUCAUCUCCAAGAUCCGGGAGGAGUACCCGGACCGCAUGAUGCUCACCUUCUCCGUCUUCCCCUCGCCCAAGGUCUCCGACACCGUCGUCGAGCCCUACAACGCCACCCUCUCCGUGCACCAGCUCGUCGAGAACGCCGACGAGUGCAUGGUGCUCGACAACGAGGCGCUCUACGACAUCUGCUUCCGCACCCUCAAGCUCACCACCCCGAGCUUCGGCGACCUGAACCACCUCAUCUCGGCCACCAUGAGCGGGGUCACCUGCUGCCUGCGCUUCCCGGGGCAGCUCAACUCGGACCUGCGCAAGCUGGCCGUGAACCUCAUCCCGUUCCCGCGGCUGCACUUCUUCAUGGUGGGCUUCGCGCCGCUCACCUCGCGCGGCAGCCAGCAGUACCGCGCGCUCACCGUGCCGGAGCUCACCCAGCAGAUGUGGGACGCCAAGAACAUGAUGUGCGCGGCCGACCCGCGCCACGGGCGGUACCUGACGGCCUCGGCCAUGUUCCGGGGCAAGAUGAGCACCAAGGAGGUGGACGAGCAGAUGCUGAACGUGCAGAACAAGAACUCGAGCUACUUCGUGGAGUGGAUCCCCAACAACGUAAAGUCGACGGUGUGCGACAUCCCGCCCACGGGCCUCACGAUGGCCUCCACCUUCAUCGGCAACUCGACGUCCAUCCAGGAGAUGUUCCGGCGCGUGAGCGAGCAGUUCACGGCCAUGUUCCGGCGCAAGGCGUUCCUGCACUGGUACACGGGCGAGGGCAUGGACGAGAUGGAGUUCACCGAGGCCGAGAGCAACAUGAACGACCUCGUCUCCGAGUACCAGCAGUACCAGGACGCCACCGCCGACGAGGAGGGCGAGUACGAGGACGAGCUCGAGGACGACGACGCCGACCUCCAGGGCUAG
rnacentral:rRNA from 1 species